AUUGAACGCUGGCGGCAUGCCUUACACAUGCAAGUCGAACGGCAGCACGGGGCAACCUGGUGGCGAGUGGCGAACGGGUGAGUAAUGCAUCGGAACGUGCCAUUGAGUGGGGGAUAACGUAGCGAAAGUUGCGCUAAUACCGCAUAUUCUGUGAGCAGGAAAGCAGGGGACCGCAAGGCCUUGCGCUCUUUGAGCGGCCGAUGUCAGAUUAGCUAGUUGGUGAGGUAACGGCUUACCAAGGCGACGAUCUGUAGCGGGUCUGAGAGGAUGAUCCGCCACACUGGAACUGAGACACGGUCCAGACUCCUACGGGAGGCAGCAGUGGGGAAUUUUGGACAAUGGGGGCAACCCUGAUCCAGCCAUGCCGCGUGAGUGAAGAAGGCCUUCGGGUUG
rnacentral:rRNA from 1 species